rnacentral:misc_RNA from 1 species
CUGCGUAAUAUCGCUCGCGCCAGCUAAGACCUGAAGCUGUUGGAAAACGCCGGUUUAUCCGGCGUUUUCUA